rnacentral:rRNA from 1 species
CUGCAAGUCGAGCGCCGUAGCAAUACGGAGCGGCAGACGGGAGAGUAACACGUGGGAACGUACCCUUCAGUUCGGAACAACCCCAGGGAAACUUGGGCUGAUACCGGAUACGUCCGUAGGGAGAAAGAUUUAUCGCUGAAGGAUCGGCCCGCGUCUGAUUAGCUUGUUGGUGAGGUAACGGCUCACCAAGGCGACGAUCAGUAGCUGGUCUGAGAGGAUGAUCAGCCUCACUGGGACUGAGACCCGGCCCAGACUCCUACGGGAGGCACAAGUAGGGAAUAUUGGACAAUGGGCGCAAGCCUAAUCCAGCCAUGCCGCGUGGAUGAUGAAGGCCCUAGGGUUGUAAAGUCCUUUCGGCGGGGAAGAUAAUGACGGUACCCGCAGAAGAAGCCCCGGCUAACUUCGUG